UGUAAGCGUAUACCAAAGUUGUUGCAGUUAAAACGCUCGUAGUCGGAAUUUGGCAGUUCCGGAAGUGUGCACGUCGUGUGCGCACUUUGCGGGGACUGCUUUUGUGGUCUUGCGUAGGAUGAGGCACUUUCAUUAGUGAACGUCCUCACGCAACCACUCUUUACUGUGAGAAAACCAGAGUGCUCAAAGCAGGCAUUUGCCGUGAAUGUAUUAGCAUGGAAUAAUAGAAUAGGACUCGGUUCUAUUUUGUUGGUUUGUUGGGACUGAGUAAUGAUUAAGAGGGACAGUUGGGGGCAUUUGUAUUCCGGCGCUAGAGGUGAAAUUCUUAGAUUGCCGGAAGACAAACUGCUGCGAAAGCGUCUGCCAAGGAUGUUUUCAUUGA
rnacentral:rRNA from 1 species